GGAGGAGUGGCCGGGCGGUUGAAGGCGCAUCUCUCGAAAAGAUGUAUAUCCGAAAGGAUAUCGUGAGUUCGAAUCUCUGAGUCGCCU
rnacentral:tRNA from 3 species